UGGCGCGUGGCUCAACGGUAGAGCACCUGACUCUGGAUCAGGGGGUUCCAGGUUCGAAUCCUGGCGCGCCAGCCA
rnacentral:tRNA from 3 species